ACGAGUGGCGGACGGGUGAGUAAUGUCUGGGAAACUGCCUGAUGGAGGGGGGAUAACUACUGGAAACGGUAGCUAAUACCGCAUAAUGUCGCAAGACCAAAGAGGGGGACCUUCGGGCCUCUUGCCAUCGGAUGUGCCCAGAUGGGAUUAGCUAGUAGGUGGGGUAACGGCUCACCUAGGCGACGAUCCCUAGCUGGUCUGAGAGGGUGAACGGCCACAUUGGGACUGAGACACGGCCCAAACUCCUACGGGAGGCAGCAUG
rnacentral:rRNA from 1 species